AAGAAUGUCAACACCAAGGAUAGGAAAUGUUAGUACCCUCGGCCCAAAGGCCAAGAUAAAACAGUAGCCCUAUUAUGAGCUGUAAUAAUAACAGUGGGGAUAUGUAUAAAUACUCAUUGUGUUUCCCUUAAUACAACACGAGAAAAUAUUUCUCAACAAAUUUAAUUCCAAAAAUGAUAAAUUUUUUUAUUUUUUUUUAAAUUUUUU
rnacentral:lncRNA from 1 species